UCCGGUUUAUCACCGGCAGUAUCGCAUGAGUCCCCAACUAAAUGCUGGCAACAUACGACGGGGGUUGCGCUCGUUGCGGGACUUAACCCAACAUCUCACGACACGAGCUGACGACAGCCAUGCACCACCUGUGAAAGCGUCCCGAAGGAAGACUGUAUCUCUACAGCUGUCGCUCACAUUUCAAGCCCAGGUAAGGUUCUUCGCGUUGCGUCGAAUUAAACCGCAUGCUCCGCUGCUUGUGCGGGUCCCCGUCAAUUCCUUUGAGUUUUAGCCUUGCGGCCGUACUCCCCAGGCGGGGCACUUAACGCGUUAGCUACGACGCGGAAGGAGUCGACACCUCCCACAUCUAGUGCCCAUCGUUUACGGCGUGGACUAC
rnacentral:misc_RNA from 1 species